AUUGAACGCUGGCGGCAUGCCUUACACAUGCAAGUCGAACGGUAACAGGCCGCAAGGUGCUGACGAGUGGCGAACGGGUGAGUAAUGCAUCGGAACGUGCCCAGUAGUGGGGGAUAGCCCGGCGAAAGCCGGAUUAAUACCGCAUACGACCUGAGGGUGAAAGGGGGGGAUCGCAAGACCUCUCGCUAUUGGAGCGGCCGAUGUCAGAUUAGCUAGUUGGUGGGGGAAAGGCCUACCAAGGCAACGAUCUGUAGUUGGUCUGAGAGGACGACCAGCCACACGGGGACGGGGAAACGGCCCAGACUCCUACGGGAGGCAGCAGUGGGGAAUUUUGGACAAUGGGCGCAAGCCUGAUCCAGCAAUGCCGCGUGCAGGAAGAAGGCCUUCGGGUUGUAAACUGCUUUUGUCAGGGAAGAAAUCUUCUGGGUUAAUACCUCGGGAGGAUGACGGUACCUGAAGAAUAAGCACCGGCUAACUACGUGCCAGCCGCCGCAGUAACAC
rnacentral:rRNA from 1 species